UGUAUGUACCUGAGUGGUAAAGCGCUUGCCUAGCAUACAAGAGGCCCUGGGUUACAUACCCAGCAUUGCAG
rnacentral:tRNA from 1 species